GCCGAGGUGGUGGAACUGGCAGACACGCAGCCUUGAGGUGGCUGUGAGAGAAAUCUUGUAGGGGUUCGAGUCCCCUCCUCGGCACCA
rnacentral:tRNA from 1 species